rnacentral:rRNA from 1 species
GCUUACGGGCCAUACCACCCUGAAGCAACGCCCGAUCUCGUCUGAUCUCGUAAGCUAAGCAGGGUCGGGCCUGGUUAGUACUUGGAUGGGAGACCAGCCUGGGAAUACCAGGUGCAGUAAGCU